rnacentral:rRNA from 1 species
UACGAAGGGGGCUAGCGUUGUCCGAAGUUCUGGCGUAAAGCGCGCGUAGGCGGGUUGGCAAGUCUGCUGUGAAAGCCCGGGCUUAACUCCGGAGGUCGGUGGAUACUGCCAGUCUUGAAGGUGCUAGGGAGAGAUGGAAUUACAGGUGUAGCGGUGAAAUGCGUAGAUAUCUGUAGGAACACCAGUGGCGAAGGCGGUCUCUUGGGGCAUUCUUGACGCUGAGGCGCGAAAGCUGGGGGAGCGAACGGGA